CUUGCCUCGCCUGCUCCCUCUGCCUCAAAACAAAACAUUCUGGACUUGGGGUGAAAAGCCUGGAUUUGAGCUAUGCUGCCCACCACUCUGCCUGGGUUUGCUUUUCUGGAUAACAUCUGCCUGCCUGCUGUGGCUCCACUGGUUGCCCACCUGACACCACGUCUCUUCUCUUCUACCGCUGGAGUCCAGAUGGAACAGGAGCGAGGUCGCCUGUAUCCUCCGGGAAAUGCUCCUGGAGGUCAGGUCAGCCGGGUGAGCACUGGGUCCGGCUGCUCUCCCCAGCUUCUCUUCUCCAGUCGGCCAACCCAGCCUCCGCGAGAGACAGAGGAAAGACAGACACGGCGUCGGCUGCACGGGGCCUGCGUCCCUCCCGACCUUCUCAUUUGAUCCUCCUGCCCCAUGCGGUUGGUGCCAACAUUCAUCCCAUUGUACGGAUGAGUAAACUCAGCUUCAGUGAGGCCGGGGCCUUCCUGGAGAUCACAGAGCAAGCACCAUCAGUCUCAACUGUCGCUGGCCCGAGCUGGCUCUACGCAUUUCUUUCCUCGUACUCUGUGGUCUACAAGGACAGGAGGUGCUGGGGGCUGGCUGGCUCCUCGGGGACAGUGGGGAGCCGUGUAGGAAGGGACACCGAGGCACCAAGGGCCCAGCAGGACCUGGGGAGAGGGUACAAGGAUAGCUAUGCUGCACACAGACUGGCUGGUUCCACACCCACUCUGGAAUGGCCAGGGCCAGACUGCCCAGCUGUCGUUUUGAUUGAAUCCAGAUGCCCCGGUACUCGAGACAAAUGUGCUCUGGGGAGCGUUUAA